rnacentral:rRNA from 1 species
UACGAAGGGGGCUAGCGUUGCUCGGAAUUACUGGGCGUAAAGCGCACGUAGGCGGAUUGUUAAGUCGGGGGUGAAAUCCUGGAGCUCAACUCCAGAACUGCCUUCGAUACUGGCGAUCUCGAGUUCGGGAGAGGUGAGUGGAACUGCGAGUGUAGAGGUGAAAUUCGUAGAUAUUCGCAAGAACACCAGUGGCGAAGGCGGCUCACUGGCCCGAUACUGACGCUGAGGUGCGAAAGCGAGGGGAGCAAACAGG